UGCCUAAAGUGGGCUCGGAGCCUUAAAUUUGGGCGGCUGGGAAGGGUGUGUGGUACUGUAUUGCCUCCUGUCCUGCCUGGACCUGUAGUUACUUCAGCACCUGUCCAGAUCCUGAGGGAAUGUAAUUCUGGCCAUCACCUCUGAGCUCGCUCUUUGCACACAGAGGAGGAGGAGGAGGAGGAGAGAGGCUGUACCUUCGUGGGCAUUCAAAAUGGAGUGAAAUGAUGGAAAUGUUCAAUCAGAGUUGUUAACAAAACUUGGUGUGAGCGAGUCAGAGAGCUAAUACAGCUGGGAGUAAAUCCUUGGUGCAGGAAGAUGACUUCUGAGGAUGUCUUCACUGCAAAGGUUUUUUUUUCUCUAAGGCAUUUUGAAACAGAUGAACUUAACUGUGGACUGCAAAACGCUACACGAUCUCUCAACAAGACCACCUGUAAAAAAAAGUUUUGGGAGUUGACAGUCCAGGGAGGUGAGUCCACAUGAUGGUGACUGGCUUCUGGGGACAGAAGAAAAGAACACUUCUAAAACCCACUAAUACACAGGCAGCGUGGAGGAGAAAAUGAAAGACAAGCCAGAGCAACUCCAGAUUUUCUAGAAGAAAGCAUCAUAAAAACAGGUUGCAAUUUCUAACCAUCGCACUGAACUCUACCCAUACAGGAUUCUACUGAAUUUGAUGGUAGGGACCUGUGGCUGCAAGUAUAAAAUUGGAAAUAAGCCUGUACAGUAGGAACUACAGCACGUUGAGUUACAUCUAUGCUCUGUGAUCAGAGUAACUCCAGUAACUCACAGUAACUCCAUGUUGAAGACCGGCCACCUUCAAAGGACACAAGAACAAAAUUCUAAAAGCAAGUCUCACCUUAAGAGCUGCUGCAUGAUGGGACAUGGUCCUGCCUACCCGCUUGUCACUGCUGUACUGCUGUAUGUCUGCUAUCCACUCCUCACACUGAGCCAUGAUCUCCACUCUUUUCAAGUAAAAAUGUUUGUGGAUGACCUGCAAGAAAAGAUUCAGGAUGAAAGAACAUAAUGUUGUUAUCUAAGAACCAUAUACUUCAACAGUACAAAACCUGCAAGACCAAUCAUGAACCCAAAUUGACGUAAGGAGAAAAAACAAAACACUAUGGGGAUAAUUCAGCAUUGAACCAAGAGGUGGAGGUUGGCCUCUAUAUAGUUUAAAAAGCAAACAAAACACCAACAAAUCACACAAAGUUGUGAAAUUCUUCGUGUUGGCUUUGUCUUAACAGCUUUCUAGAACUCUGCCUGUUGGAAGAAACAAUAAAAUUAAAUAAAUUUUAUUGAGCACAGAGGGUUCUUUCCAAUAUUGUAACAUAAUUGACAAAAUCAUCUCUCUCUCUAGAGGUUAGAGAAUGUAGCUAUUUGUCUAAAGAAAACUUGCAUAUUGAAAGCACAAUAGACUUCAAUUCUGGAUGCAUUCCUUGUAUCCUUAAUGGAGUUUGGAAGAACUCCCACAGACUGGCACUUUAGAUCCCCCGAGCCUACUUGUCAUUUAAGACACCAAAGGGAAAACAGCUCAGAUUUAUGAAGGCAAAAGGUAGUAAGAGCUGAAGGAUGCAAAUUCUUUCUGAGACCUAAGCUUCUGGGAUGCCUUUGCAUUUGUAUUACUGAAUGAUUAUCCAAUUGGUAAGGUUCCUAGCACAACCCUACAAAAAAAAUGGAGAUCUUAACAGCAAGCUAGUCUUAGAUAAAAAUACUCAAGAGUCAUAUUUUCAUUUGGGUGCAAAUUCAGCUACUGCAUCAGAAAAAAAAAAAAAGUAAUAUUUUCCAAUGCACAAUUUCCCUCCCCCCUUUUUUCAAUAAAAAUAAAUGCUACUUUUCAUAAUGAUAAGGAAUACACAUUCACAGAAGCAUUAUUGGAAUUCUCAUGAGUUGAUAAAGCACUAGGUCAGACUCCAUGCUUAAGCUAGCAUGACUGUGUUUUUUAACACAAAAGCAAGCUAUCUUAGCCUUGAACUUUUCCUCAUAUAAGUUAUCAUAGCUUCACGUUUCUUCUCGCAAUCUUGAGGAUUUCACCACACUAUCCUAAAGAAAUGUGCCUAAAAGCACCUGGAGAAAAAAAAUAUUUAACUGCUGGCAUGCAGGUUAAAUGUUUGUUUUCUCAUGCCAUAAGACACGGUAGUUUAAAUGGAAAUUUUUUUUUUGCAUCCCAAAGGAUUUUUUUUUUUUUUAAAAUCAACAGCAAGAAAGAGACAGGGGACUGUUUUCUUACUCAGAUAUCACACUUAGCAGUGUGAAUAAUCCUGAAACAGUUUUACUUUUUCCAUAUUUUAGCAGGAAAACAAUGGAAAACACAUGAGUUCGACCUCAACUUAGAAAUGGCUGUAGUUUCAGUAGCCUAGAGCAAAAUAUAUUUUUCUCUAUUUGUUGGUAGUACCAUGAGAUGACUCAUGUUUGAUCACCCAGUUUGCAUUAAUAUUCACACAGAUUCUCUUAGUGUAACUUCCACUCUUCUCUCCUUUGCCAUGUAUGCUGAAAUCCUUGUGAUGUUUGGAGCUGCUCUGAGAAAAGAAUUGGACUAGAGACAUUGAGAGAGGUCCCUAAAUUAUUCUACAAUACUACGGCUUCCAGGAGGAUUUGCUCCAUAAUCUUCCCAAGGACUCCAGUGUUGCUGACCAGCCUGUAGCUCCCCAGACCAUCCUUUUUGCCUGUCUUGAACAUGCAUGUAAUGUUUGCCAGCCAUCAGGAAGCUCCCAUGGUUGUUCUGACCUUUUAAAGAUCAGAGAUGGUGUUUUUGCAAUGACAUUGGCUGGCUCCCUCAGCAGCCAUGGAUGCAAGAGAUUCU